GAUGAACGCUAGCGGAAUGCUUUACACAUGCAAGUCGAGCGGCAGCGCGGGGCAACCUGGCGGCGAGCGGCGAACGGGUGAGUAACACAUCGGAACGUGCCCAGACGUGGGGGAUAGCCCGGCGAAAGCCGGAUUAAUACCGCAUACGAUCUGAGGAUGAAAGCGGGGGAUCGCAAGACCUCGCGCGUUUGGAGCGGCCGAUGGCAGAUUAGGUAGUUGGUGGGGUAAAGGCUUACCAAGCCUGCGAUCUGUAGCUGGUCUGAGAGGAUGAUCAGCCACACUGGGACUGAGACACGGCCCAGACUCCUACGGGAGGCAGCAGUGGGGAAUUUUGGACAAUGGGCGCAAGCCUGAUCCAGCCAUUCCGCGUGCAGGACGAAGGCCUUCGGGUUGUAAACUGCUUUUGUACGGAACGAAAGCCCUUCUCUAAUACAGAGGGGUCAUGACGGUACCGUAAGAAUAAGCACCGGCUAACUACGUGCCAGCAGCCGAC
rnacentral:rRNA from 1 species